rnacentral:rRNA from 1 species
AAAGAUUAAGCCAUGCAUGUCUAAGUUUAAAUAGAAUCUAUUGUGAAACUGCGAAUGGCUCAUUAAAUCAGUUAUAGUCUAUUUGAUAAAACAAUACUACUUGGAUAACCGUAGUAAAUCUAGAGCUAAUACAUGAGAAAAAGCAGAUUUCGGUCUGCCGUAUUUAUUAGGUAAAAAGACCAGUCUUCCUUUACGGGAAGCCUUUUGGUCAYUCAUAGUAACUGAACUAAUCGCAUGGCUUUAAUGCCAGUGAUGAUUCAUUCGAAUUUCUGCCCUAUUAACUUUUGAUGGUAAGGUAUUUGCUUACCAUGGUUUCUAUGGGUGACGGGGAAUUAGGGUUCGAUUCCGGAGAGGGCGCAUUUAGAUAUGGCGACCACUUCCAAGGAAGGCAGCAGGCGCGCAAAUUACCCAAUUCAGACUCUGAGAGGUAGUGAAGAUAAAUAACUAUAUUAGACCAUUUAUUGGUUUGAUAAUAGGAAUGAUUACAGUUUAAAAGCCUUAAAAAGUAGCAAUUGGAGGACAAGUCUGGUGCCAGCACCCGCGGYAAUUCCAGCUCCAAUAGUAUAUAUUAAAGUUGUUGCAGUUAAAAAGCUCGUAGUUGGAUACAGGGUCUAUUAGGUGUGAYUCAGACACUUGGUUUGAGUUCUUCGAAUGAAAGCCUUGUGUCUGGCACCAAAUAGACUUUUGCAUAAGAACAAAUGCCUACUAGAUUGUGGACGGGUGUCCUUAACUGGUCACUCGAUCAAAAUGUGGUAAUAAGUUUAAAUUGGAUUCGUCCUUUUUAGGCUUUUUUGUCACAUCCGCACUAGUUCAUUUACUGUGAGAAAAUUAGAGUGUUUAAAGCAGGCUUAUUUAGUAGCCUUGAAUAUUUCAGCAUGGGAUAAUGGAACAAGACACAGGCUUUUCUAUUGGUCUAAAAGCCUAAACUUAUCGUGUAAUGAUUAAUAGGAGCAGUUGGGGGCAUUAAUAUUUAAAGGUUAGAGGUGAAAUUCUUGGAUUCUUUAAAGAUUAUCUGGUGCGAAAGCGUUUGCCAAAUAUGUUUUCAUUAAUCAAGAACGAAAGUUAGGGGAUCGAAAAUGAUCAGAUACCGUUGUAGUCCUAACUAUAAAUUAUGACGACCUGCGAUUGAAAGACGUUAAUUAUAAUAGACUCUUCCAGCAGCAAAUAAGAAAUUAGRGUGUUUGGUUUCUGGGGGGAGUAUGGUCGCAAGACUGAAACUUAAAGGAAUUGACGGAGGAAUACACCACGAAGUGGAGCCUGCGGCUUAAUUUGACUCAACACGGGAAAACUUACCAGGUCCAGAUAAUUGUAUGAUUGACAGACUUAAGCUCUUUCUUGAUUAAUUAAGUGGUGGUGCAUGGCCGUUCUUAGUUGGUGGAGCGAUUUGUCUACUUAAUUGUGAUAACGAACGAGACCUAAACCUAUUAAAUAAUUCGAGGUAUGCUAGUCGCAAAAGGCAGGUUUCCUCUUCGAUYUGUGGCUCUAGGGGUGCGAAUCUCUAGGGCAUAAAAACGCAGGUCGAGGUCAGGGGCUUGUUGGCAGCGUAUCUUAAAGGUGCCCAAAAGCGCCUUUUUUCACGAGAGUUUCUUAGAGGGACAAUUGAUUCAUAGUCAGUGGAAGAUUUAGGCAAUAACAGGUUAAAAAUACACAGGCCUGUAAAAGGCUUUCAAAGCCUAGUUCAAGCUAAUAUAUUAGCUUGAGCAACACCAGAAAAUUGCUGGAACUUUCUUGCUCAAAAUAGCACUACAUACUGGACCCAUGGUCAGCUCAGAGUAUUAAAACUCUGUAGUAGAGUGAAAAUUGUAGUGAAAAAUGCAGGAUUAACCAGCAUCCAAGCGAGUUUCAAACUCGUGCUGUUCACRGACUCAAUUUUGGUGGGCAAAUUGCGCAGGAUUCAAAGCCUGUUUAUUUGCUUGAGAUAGAGCCRAGACAAUCUGUCUAAAAUAGAUUGAAUAAUCUGCUGUGAUGCCCUUCGAUGUUCUGRGCCGCACGCGUGCUACAAUGAUGGUCUCAGCGAGUAAAAAUGUGCAUUUUCCUUCACUGAAAAGUGUAGGUAAUCUGUUCAAAAGCCAUCGUAACUGGGAUAGAGCCUUGAAAUUAUUGCUCKUCAACGAGGAAUUUCUAGUAAGCAUAAUUCAUCACAUUGUGUUGAAUACGUCCCUAUYUCUUGUUCACACCGCCCGUCGCUGCUACCGAUUGAAUGGUCCGGUGAAAGCCUCGGAUUCGCACGUAUUUGCUUCGCAAGUUGCAUUAACGCGUGGAGAAGUCGCCUGAACCUUAUCAUUUAGAGGAAGCAGAAGUCGUAACAAGGU